CGAACACAACCCUAGUGCACUAGCUAUCCGCCUGGUUUUCGAGUUUCCAACGAGCCAGAAGGAAGCCCAAUUUUUCCCAAAAGAAAUCCACCCCCGAUAUCAAAAUCCCUUCUCCCUCCCCUCUCGCCGCCCUCCUCCUCCUCCUCGUCGCCGUCCUCCUCCUCCUCCUCGAUUCGAGGGGUGCCGCCGCCGCCGCAGCUCCAGCAUCCGCGAGAGGCUCGCGUUGGGGAUCGCCAAUUUCCACGCCACGGUGGCCAAUCCCCCGCGGCGCGCGCUGGUGGGCGAUGCGAUCGGAUGAGGUGUUGGCGACGGCGGCGGCGCUGCGUGGUGGUGGAGAGGAGGAGGAGGAGGAGGGCGUCGAGCUUCCCCGCGGCGGGGUUUCGGCCACCGCGCCUAGGAGGAGGAGGAGGAGCCGGUGAUGGCGCCCGCCGUUCAGCCGCCGCCGUCCCCGCCCCCGCCGCGGCGGCCCCGCUCGGGCCCUCCACCGGGGCUGAAGAAUCUCGGCAACACCUGCUACCUCAACAGCGUGCUACAGUGCCUCGCGUCGACCCCUCCCCUCGCUACCUUCUGCCUCUCCUUCCGGCACUCCAAUCUGUGCAAGAAGGUGUUGCCGAACAAGGACAAGGAGUGUGUGUUCUGUGUGGUGGAACGGCAGAUCUCGCGGCUGCUUCGGACCGAAGCAGGGGCGCUAGACUCGCCAGCGAAGAUCAUACGCUGCCUGCCGCUCUUUGCCGAGCAUUUCCGGUGGGGCCGCCAAGAGGAUGCGCACGAGUUCCUGCGCUAUAUUAUAGACGCUUGUCACACCGCUGGUCUGCGCAUACGCAAGCGGCUACCUGCGUCAAACGCCAAUGGGGACGCUGGCGAGGAGGAGGUCCGGGUGCAAGGGCCAUAUAUGGUGAUGAAGGAGACAUUUGGCGGUGCGCUGCUCAGCCAAGUGAAGUGCCUCACCUGCAAGGGAGAGUCAAACAAGACCGACGAGAUAAUGGAUAUCAGCCUCGACCUGCCUGGAAGCAAUUCUGUUGCUGAUGCGCUUGCCCGUUUUUUUCAGCCUGAGAUAUUGGAGGGUUCAAACAAGUACAGCUGCGAAAGAUGCAAGAAGCUCACCUCAGCACGGAAGCAAUUGUUUGUCCUUAGGGCACCUAAGGUGCUCGUCAUACAACUCAAGAGAUUUGAGGGAAUAAAUGGUGGGAAGAUCAACAGGAACAUAGAAUUCAAAGAGACUCUCUUUCUUUCUGACUUCAUGUAUAAUAAAAACCAGGAUUCACUGCCAGUAUAUAAUCUUUUUGGCAGUAUUGUUCACUCAGGGUUCUCUCCAGAUUCUGGUCACUACUAUGCGUAUGUUAAGGAUGCUAUUGGUCGCUGGUAUUGUUGUAAUGAUUCCCAUAUCUCCCCCUCAAGCUCUCAGGAUGUUCUAUCUGAGAAGGUCUACAUCCUAUUCUAUAUUCUGAGUACCAAAACUCAAAAGCCUAGUACAAAUGGUUACUCUUCUAGUGCAGCUAAAUCUUCCAACAGCAAUGGAAAUGGCAUAUCAAAUGCCACAUCUAAUGAGCCCCUGAAGAUACCACUAGUAAAACAGAAUGGACUAUGUUCUAGUAAAGGUAUUGCACCGCCACCCCUGAAGAAUGGCAAGAUUGCACCAGGUAUGCACCUCAAGCCAAUCCACUUGAAGAAUAAUGGAACGGGGAAAGUUUCUUCAAAUGGCAAGGCAAGCAUCAUUCCGGGCAAUAAGCUAGAAGUUAGUGAGGGUUUAACACUGCCAGCAGUGAAUGGCCGUGACUCUGGAAAAUAUGCAGAACCCGGUAAAAUGAAUGCUAAUGGUAGUGUUUCUUGCAAUAAGACGGAUGUUAAUUCACAGAGAGUGUUGCCCAAUACGAAUGGAAAUGGAAAUCCAAUUCACUUUUCUGAUCUUCAAGAGACCAUUGAUGCUAAGGCUACAUGUGCUGAGCAAUAUUCUGAAAAGUCAUCUAUUGCCAGUUUGGAGGAUUCUAAAAAUCCUGUUUCAUGCCAUGAAAUGUCUGCAGUCAUAGUAAAGGAUGUGGUAUCUUCGGGUAAGGACAGUUCUUCCUUGAAGCACCAUCUUGAAGAAGGGAAGUUUAAGGAAAUGCUUGCUGAAUCGGCAUCUUCUGAGCUUCACUUGUCUGGUUGGGUGGAUGAUGUCCGUAAUUUCAUGCACACUAUAAAGAGACGCCGUCUACAAAAUACAGGCACGCCUCAAGAUAGUGACACAAUGAGAAAGGAGCUGAUAAGCGAAUCUGGAAGAAUAUUUAGGUCAAAAAUUCCAGAAUCGCUGAGGGAGCAUCUCAUUCAAGCCCUGCGGUCAUAUUACCAGGACAAAUUUUCACUGGGAGGAUAAAUUUUGUGCGGCGGUUCAUUAGAAACUUAAGAAAAUGUAUCUGUAUUUACCAUUUUGUAGAAUGGCAAAUUGAUGGUGGAUGUAUGUUCCAUGUGGUAUAUGUUUGCUCUGGUUCAACGGAAUCCUGUUGGUCAACUACCAGCUCCUUGUGCGGCUUAUUUUUGAGGCAUUUUUGUUAUCCAAAUGAGGUUGAGACGUAGAGUGGCCAAAUUACAUGUAAAAUAUUGUCUUCUUUUUGCUGUUGCUCCUGAUUCUAUAGGCUUAAACAACACCAACAACCCCCAUUCCUUCCCUUCUGUCUAGAAUGUAGAAAUUGUUUUUUCCCUUCUGUACAAUAAUAGUUCGCAGAUUAGCAGUGUAUGGGGUUUUUGACCUUUACUGAAGGAAAAGCCCGUUUGUGGCUUCAGUACUGGGUUUGUUCUGAAUUA